rnacentral:rRNA from 1 species
GACGAACGCUGGCGGCGUGCUUAACACAUGCAAGUCGAACGGAAAGGCCCUGCUUUUGUGGGGUGCUCGAGUGGCGAACGGGUGAGUAACACGCGAGUAACCUGCCCUUGACUUUGGGAUAACUUCAGGAAACUGGGGCUAAUACCGGAUAGGAGCUCCUGCUGCAUGGUGGGGGUUGGAAAGUUUCGGCGGUUGGGGAUGGACUCGCGGCUUAUCAGCUUGUUGGUGGGGUAGUGGCUUACCAAGGCUUUGACGGGUAGCCGGCCUGGGAGGGUGACCGGCCACAUUGGGACUGAGAUACGGCCCAGACUCCUACGGGAGGCAGCAGUGGGGAAUAUUGCAGAAUGGGCGGAAGCCUGAUGCAGCAACGCCGCGUGCGGGAUGACGGCCUUCGGGUUGUAAACCGCUUUCGCCUGUGACGAGGCGUGAGUGACGGUAAUGGGUAAAGAAGCACCGGCUAACUACGUG